GGCGAUGGAGGGAAGACGGUUAAGGACCAACCGGUGGAAGUCAUCUUGCCAAAGCAACAGGCAGGCUUAGGAUGUGACCUACAUGUGGGUGGAGUCUCUGUUGUGGGAGUAGCCUGUGGAAGCAGACAUUCCUUCGUUUGGACCGACACUGGGCAGGCCUACAGCUUCGGGAACAACUUCUACGCUCAGCUUGGCUACGACUUCAAGAGGCCAGACUACAAGGAGAACCAGCUGACACCGCAUCUUCUCCGGACGCUUCCGGCUCCCCGCCUGAGGGUGGCCUGCGUGGCCUGCGGGGAACGACACACGGUCUUUGCGCUGGAGGACGGACGCGUGGCGGCGUGCGGGUGAGUUCACGUCGGGACAGCGAGGACACAGCAGCCGGGUUCCAGUACCUGACGAGGGGAGGGGAGCCUGGCGAUGACGCAGACCACCCCCUCCCCACACACGUUCACACACACACGCACACACUCACGCACACACACGCACACACUCACGCGCACACACACACACACACACACACACACACACACACACACACACACACACACACACACACACACACACACACACACACACACACACACACACACACACACA